AUGAGCAAGGCAUACGACCGUGUCGAAUGGACCUUCUUAAAGGAGAUGAUGCAUAGACUGGGUUUCGAUGAAGGGUGGAUGAAUUUGAUAAUGAAGUGCAUCUCCACUGUCAAAUACAAGAUUAAAGUGAAUGGGGAUGUAACCGAAACAAUCACACCCCAAAGGGGACUUCGUCAAGGGGAUCCACUUUCCCCAUAUCUGUUUCUACUUUGUGCGGAAGGGUUCUCAGCCAUGCUGCACAAUGCUGAAAGGAGAGGGUUAAUUAGAGGAAUUAAAAUAUGCAGAGGAGCUCCUAGUGUUAGUCACCUACUUUUUGCAGAUGAUUCUCUGCUGCUAAUGGAGGCUAGUGCAAGCAGUGCUCAAGAAGUUGAACGCAUUUUGAACAUAUAUGGAAGCUGCUCAGGGCAAAUGAUAAACAAGGACAAGUCAUCCAUUUUAUUCAGUAAAAAUACGAGGCCUUGGCAAAAGGAAGAAAUGAAGAGGACACUGAACAUUAUAACUGAGGGCCUUGCAUCAAAAUAUUUAGGUCUUCCAACAUAUGUUGGCAAAGCAAAAGCGAAGAUGUUUGAAUAUGUAAAGGAAAGAAUAUGGAAAAGGAUUCAAGGUUGGAAGGAGAAACUACUUUCGAAGGCAGGGAAAGAAAUUCUAAUAAAAGCCGUGGCACAAGCUAUUCCUGUCUACAGCAUGGCGUGCUUUGAUCUCACCAAGGGCCUAUGUGAAGAACUGAGCACCAUGAUUAAUAGGUAUUGGUGGAGCCAAAUGGAUAAGGAAAAUAAAGUGCAUUGGGUCAGCUGGGAGAGGCUUACUAGAUCAAAAAGAAAUGGAGGCUUGGGAUUUAGGGAUCUACGUGCGUUCAAUCUGGCAAUGCUGGCAAGACAAGCAUGGAGGCUGCUCCAAAACCCCUCCUCUCUUUGUGCCCAGGUUCUUUCAAGUAGAUACUACCCAGGAUGUUCAAUUCUGCGGGCGAGACCAAGUAGUGGCAUUUCUUAUGCAUGGCGCAGCAUACUAAAGGGUGUUGAGCUGCUGAGAAAAGGAAUCAUAUGGAGAGUUGGGAAUGGCAAGGAUAUUGACAUAUGGAGUGACCCAUGGAUUCCGAGAGGUAACACCAGAAGGGUCGUCUCCCAUAGGGGCAAUAAUUUGAUAACUAAAGUCAGUGAGCUAAUUAACCCAAUCACCAACAAAUGGGACGAAGAACUAGUGAGGCAAACUUUUACCCCGGAAGAUACAAAGUGUAUCCUUCAGAUCCCAAUCCAAGAUCAUCUCGAGGACUUCACGACAUGGCACUAUGAUAAAAAAGGUAUAUUUUCAGUAAAAUCUGCAUACAAAGUAGCAAUAGAUUGUGCAGCUCGAGAAUCUCUCUCAGGUCUAACAUCUACCUCAAGUGCAGCUGAAGAAGAUGGUGGAUUUGACUGGCUUAAACUAUGGACAAUGCCCCUCCCAAACAAAGUGCUCCAUUUUUUAUGGAGGCUAGCAACCAAUAGCUUACCGUUGCGAACAAAGCUACAAAACAGAGGUACAGGAGAAAGGGAAGGGGAUAGCCCAACAGCCAAAGCAAAAGUGGACAAGACCAGCUUCAGGAAUAUUGAAGAUCAACACUGA
rnacentral:rRNA from 1 species